AUUGAACGCUGGCGGCAUGCCUUACACAUGCAAGUCGAACGGCAGCGGGGACUUCGGUCCGCCGGCGAGUGGCGAACGGGUGAGUAAUGUAUCGGAACGUACCAUUCAGUGGGGGAUAACUAUCCGAAAGGAUAGCUAAUACCGCAUAUUCUGUGAGCAGGAAAGCAGGGGAUCGCAAGACCUUGCGCUGAUUGAGCGGCCGAUAUCAGAUUAGCUAGUUGGUGAGGUAACGGCUCACCAAGGCUACGAUCUGUAGCGGGUCUGAGAGGAUGAUCCGCCACACUGGGACUGAGACACGGCCCAGACUCCUACGGGAGGCAGCAGUGGGGAAUUUCGGACAAUGGGCGCAAGCCUGAUCCAGCCAUGCCGCGUGAGUGAAGAAGGCCUUCGGGUUGUAAAGCUCUUUCGGCCGGGAAGAAAUCGCACGGGCUAAUACCCUGUGUGGAUGACGGUACCGGAAUAAGAAGCACCGGCUAACUACGUGCCAGCAGCCGCCGUAAAAC
rnacentral:rRNA from 1 species